GGCCGCGUAGCGUAAUGGUUAACGCGUCACUUUCCGGAGGUGAAGAUUGCAGUUUCGAAUACUGCCGUGGUCG